rnacentral:rRNA from 1 species
GACGAACGCUGGCGGCGUGCCUAAUACAUGCAAGUCGAGCGCAUGAAGCCGUCCGAACCCUUCGGGGGGACGACGGUGGAAUGAGCGGCGGACGGGUGAGUAACACGUAAAGAACCUGCCCAUAGGUCUGGGAUAACCACGAGAAAUCGGGGCUAAUACCGGAUGUGUCAUCGGACCGCAUGGUCCGCUGAUGAAAGGCGCUCCGGCGUCGCCCAUGGAUGGCUUUGCGGUGCAUUAGCUAGUUGGUGGGGUAACGGCCCACCAAGGCGACGAGGCAUAGCCGACCUGAGAGGGUGAUCGGCCACACUGGGACUGAGACACGGCCCAGACUCCUACGGGAGGCAGCAGUAGGGAAUCUUCCACAAUGGACGAAAGUCUGAUGGAGCAACGCCGCGUGAACGAUGAAGGCUUUCGGGUCGUAAAGUUCUGUUGUAAGGGAAGAACAAGUGCCGCAGGCAAUGGCGGCACCUUGACGGUACCUUGCGAGAAAGCCACGGCUAACUACGUGCCAGCCGCCGCGGUAACAC